UACAGGGGGUGCAAACGUUGCUCGGAAUCAUUGGGCGUAAAGCGCACGUAGGCGGUUCGUUAUGUCGGAUGUGAAAGCCCUUGGCUUAACCGAGGAAGUGCAUCCGAAACUGGCGAGCUAGAGUACUAAAGAGGAUCGCGGAAUUCCCGGUGUAGAGGUGAAAUUCGUAGAUAUCGGGAGGAACACCGGUGGCGAAGGCGGCGAUCUGGGCCAGUACUGACGCUGAUGCGCGAAAGCGUGGGGAGCGAACAGG
rnacentral:rRNA from 1 species